UGACGCGCAUGAAUGGAUUAAC
rnacentral:ncRNA from 3 species